ensembl:lncRNA
AUUUUUAGUGUUUAUUUUAUUUAUGACAAAAAGGCAGUAUACACAUGAACGUUUUGAAUUCCAAAUAAAUAAAACUGGUUCUCUAUAACUUUUAUGGAUUAAAAAUAAUCACAGUUAUCAAUGAUACAGUAUAAAUACAAUAAUAUAAAAAAGAUAAACAUUUCAAAUUUAAUUUCAGCAAAAAAAAAAUACUACUACAGAAAGUACUGCAUUUUUUCAGCAUUAUGCUCAUGCUAGAACAAAUGGGAAAACACACCUAAACUUCUACAUUCUAAAUAAUUGACAACUUCUUCCAACUAGGUUCUGAAUAUAGAUUCUCCUUACAAGAAAAAUGUUUUAACAGCAGAGGUACACACCACAGAAAGAAGACUGGGCAUAAAAUACACAGCCAGGCCUCCCAGCAACUUAAUCUAAUGAUCAUAACACAUCCUUGUAAUGCACUUCUGAGAAUCUGCAGCAACAGUGGCAACAAUACAUUCUUUAUAUUUACAGAUGCAGUAUAAUCCUGGAAUACUUUCAAUUAUCUAAUUUUUACUUGAAGCAUUUUGAGUAUCAGACCUUCAGUAAAAUAAUUAUUAUCACGAGCUAGUCUCAUUACAAGUUGAAAACAAAACCUAAGUUCUUGCAAGUAAAUCUAACAUUUGCAAUUUGCGAAACAUAAAAAUAGCACACACAGCGGUUUAUUUUUUUCUUAUUCAUACAUCAUUUCUAGGCUCCAUUUUGUAACAUUAGAGAAGCAAUAUUCUACAACUACAUACAAGUCAAAGCACAAUAUACAUAAGCAAAAAAAACAUCUACUUAAAACAUGUUGUGUAUUACUGUGCACAACUUGUUUGCAUUUAGGGUAUGCAAAUGAUUUUUAAAAAGAACAGAUGCCCAAGAUGCUACUUUUCCAACUGAAAGACAGCCAGAAGUUAGAAUCAGUGUUAAUUAAUAUGUAAGUGUCAGUGUCUCUAUGUGGCACUACAAUGAACCAGCAGAGCAAGUGUGAAGUCAUCACUCAACAUGAGUAAUGUUGCACAAUACAACCUUUCAUACUAACAGCCAGCAGUAUGUCUAACUAUUGACAAAGAAUGUGCCAGGUAAGCUUACAAUUUUAGCAGGAAAACCUUGAAUUUCUGAAAUAUAAAGAAAACAAUCACAAAUGGUUACAACCCCCACCCCUUUUUUUCUAACAACUAUAUUAACCUAACAUUACUGAUAUUUUAAAUAGUAUUUACUUGAAUUUUAUCUUACACACUUUCUGAUUUGUUAGUAAUGGGCAUUUUUCACUUGUACAAUGAAAAUAUUAAAAGCUUCAAGAAUAAUUUAUCAGCAGAAUGAACCUUGUGAAGAUCAGCUGGUAUUGUCUCACCUCUUAUCUGACUUUCCCAGACAUGUCCCUCUUACUGAAAAAAAAAAAUCUGUUUUUCAGAGAAAGCUUUCAGGUUUUCACAUAAAUACAUUGUGAUAUGGAGGGGGUGGGGGGCAAAGGGCAUGUGUGUUGUAAAAUCUUGUUUACUUCUAGAGAUCAAUAAGACAUGUUUUCUACCAUUAGGGCUGCAUUCAUUUUCUCACUGAAAUUCAAACAAUCACAGAGCAUACAAAGGAAAACCCUCAUGGUUUCAGGACUCUUCAUACUUUGUCCAAACAAGGGAGGAAGGAGGUGAAGGCUAAAUAAAUAAAUAAAUAAAUAAAUAAAUAAAUAAAUAAAUCAGAAAAACAGCUGACAAAUUCUCACCAUUUCAGAUUAGAUACUGAAAAAAACUAAGAAAACUACCCUUCUAAGUAUUACUACAUUUUUUGUUUUUGAAAUUUUCUCCUCCCACAAAGAAGAAAAAAAAAUAAAAGGUUCUGAAUGUUUCCCUUUAAGAUAUAAACAAUAUUCUGUGUAAACUUUACAGUGUGAUGACUAAGCACCUGGAGAAAACUCCCUCUCUUCAUUCUGGCAGGUGGGGAGGAGGAUGAAGGAAAAGUAUCAGUGGAACACACACACACACACACUAGGCAGAGUGAAAAAUCCCAAAAUGAUGCAACUCAGAUACUAAGAGAACCUUCAGUAGGGGCAAUAGCAUCUGUAUAUCAAGAACUGAUUAAAAACAACCUAAUGCAUGUCUCUCCCAUAAAUGGAGAUCCAGAUUUUUGGCUUAAUCGUAGUAAACAUUGAAACUUUUCUCACGUGGAAACUCUGGAAUCAGAACCAAAGAAAAGAAUAUGUCUGGCAUCUUUGUUUUCUGAACAUCCAAAACAUGGAGACAUCACCCUGUAAACCAGAUGUUACUGGAAAUAAAUAUUAUAUAUAUAUAUAUAUAUAUAUAUACACACACAAAAACUUCAAGAGUAUUCCAACAAAAAGGCUGUUUGGUUUAUUCUACCUUGAAGUAGUGCUUUUCUAACUGCAACCUACUGAUCAUUCAACUAAUUCUUUGACAGUAACUUCACACACUGUCUUUUCAGACUGUAGAACAUCAGAAUCACAAGCCUCAGCCAGUGUUUCUGGUAGCAGAUUUGUGUUAUGACUUUACUUUUCUUGUCGUCAUAAUGCUGAAAAAAUCCUGUCUUCACAGUACUGUCCAUCUUUUGUAGGUUUUCCUUCCUUUCAGUGAUAUGGAGUUGUAAACUCAGAUCCUUUGUUAAUGAUAUUCCAGCAGCCACUUUACCACACUCUCUGCUUUUAAACUUUUUUAUAUCUAUUGCUCUGCUUCAAAAAGAUUUUUGCCUGAAUUCUGUCAGCAAAAUCAGAAUUGUUAUCAUAAUUAUAUUGUGGUUCACAAAGGGAAGCAUAGUAACUAGAAUCUGGCCGCUUCACUUGCAAUUCUUUUUUUCUGAUUAGAGUCCGUCAAUUGCAAUGGGACAGCACCUACUGUGAGAGCAGACUGCAUGGCCUGCAGCAAUUAAGGCAUCAGAUAGACUGCUAUCCCCACACAAAACAUUCACCUCUAACUUCAUUUCAGAGCCAUAGUGGAUAAAAUGAAAUAUUAGACCUGGUUUAUGAAGAAGCUGCUGAAACAAAAGUAUAGCUUCCUCACUCCAGCGAUCCCCCUUGCCAGGAACUGUAUCAUGCAAAGAGCAAGAGUGUGCCAAGCGUGGCAAGUGUAACAGACUUUCUGGAACAACUUUAAGCUUAUGGAUAUCAGAAUAAGGUAUGGUCCUCAGAAAGCCAUAAUCAAUAAAUGUAAGAACAACAGACUGACCUGUUACCUCACUAAUUUCUGCCCUGUACCACUCUGCUUCCUGCCCAAACUCGAUCAAGCAGCUAGCACCAGGAAUCACGAGUUCUCCUGGCAGAGCUGGCAAGUUGUCAGGAAGGUCACAGAGCAGCAAGGACAAGUUUUGCAUGCAAUCAAAGAAGAUUUCAAACUGGAUGCUGAAGUUUGAAGGAUCAGUGACUGCAGUUGCACACCCAGGAUAUGUUCUGCCAGUACGCAGCAGCAUCCACAUGACUGAAUUUAUCUUGAAUGACGUAUCAAACUCCUUACAGUUUGUAUUACUACAUUUUUCUGGUCCAGCAACUGUCCAACAAUGACUUAAGAGCUGAUUCAAAUACUCCUGAAGUGUAAAUUCCCCUACUAAAAUAUCUACCUCCCAGAUAUCAGAUGAUUUCAAAUAUCUCAAAAACAAGAUCCUUAUUUCACAAUCUAGAAGUGCAUUUACUACAUGGUCUAAGUGAAUUUUCUUCAGGUUUUUAUAACAAAUCCACCUACAAUGAACAGCUUGUUUAGGAAUACUUUUAAUCUCAUCACUGAGCAUCUUUGCAUUAUUUAAGGACACCAUCUCACACAUGCCAUAAUCCGUGAAAAAAACUAGCAUUAACUUUUCCCUGACAAAUUUCUUUAUUACUUUUGAUCGAUUCCAUUUUAAGUUCCUUUCAGAUUGUGUAAUGCAUUCCAGUCCCUGUUCAAUGUCAUCCACUCUAAGCGAAUCACCUCUUUGUGCUUCUUUGUCAAGCAUUACAUUUAACUCAUGUAGUAUUUGCAGAUUUUUAAGUAACUGUAUGUAAAAAUCUCCAUUAUUUGAAAUACUAACUACUUCUGCUGCUUCUACUUGUCCAGAAUUUAAAACCUGAUGAAAGUGACUUAAGGGUUUUACAGAAGUAUUUUUCAUUCCAGCAGCUUUGAUUUUAUUUCGGCCACCUAAACUAUUCUUAGACCUUUGAGGAUUACCCUUUUGUUUAGGCUUAUUUUCCAAAGAAAAUACCCAUGUGCUAUUACACUUUAUGCUGUCUAUUUUAUGCAAAAGGCUGCUGGACAAUGACUCUCCACCACAAAUUACAUCUAUUUCCCAUUUUUCUCCAUGUUGCUGUAAGAACUUGCAAGCUACUGGCUUGUCAAUUACUGUUCUUGCAAAAUAUGCAGCACUUUCUUUAGUCCAGCUUUCACCAGGAACACUUUUUACACUGCUAAGGAAACAAUGAACACUAAACCUUGGCAGAGUUAAGAACUUUUCUGGAAUCCUGCAGAUUUUUGACAAACUUACAACUGCAGCAUUACCAUAGUCAAUAAAUUCUACCUCAUAGGAGUUUCCUGAUUUUAGAGUUUUAAUAACUGCUCUAUAGUAAAAACAAUCAGCAUCGUGCUCUGCAACAAUGAGAUCCCCUACCUUGAGUUCAUUUAAGCAAUUUUCCCGACCUCUAUUCUCCAAGCUCUCAUUUAAAUCGUCUGCUAGUUUUAUUAUUAAGUUUUCAUCCUCCGCAAAGUGAACAUAGAAACUUGAUGGACUAUUCAUGUGAGAAAUAUAACCUGCUACUUCAGUAUUCACCUGGAUAUCACGUUGAGGAAGACUGAUUAAUGUUGGUAUAUUUUUAUUACUCUUUUCCUGUUGACCUGUACAAUUUGGUAUUUCAUUCUGAGAUUCAGAGAGCGCAUUCAGAGUUAUUUCCUUUGAGUAUAAAGCAGAAUAAGAGAGGGAGUGAGAAGCAGGUUGUCCAAUCCAAGGUUCCUCUCCAUUCUCCAGAAGACCACUGACAGUAUUUCUAAAACCUUGCUCUUUGCUGGCCUGUAAAGUUUGCUGUUUUGAGAAUCCACUACACAACUUCGGUGUGCUACAUGCAGUUUGCUCUUCAUCUCUGAAAUUCUCAUCAGUAUCUGCCUGGUAAUACUCAUAAUAGGCUUGGCAUUUCACUUCAGUUUUCAAUUUAAGUAUUUCAGGAUCUUUAUCAUUGACUUCAUUAAUUUCUUUGUCAUCUUUCAUGUGACAUAUCGCUCCUUCAUUACUUCUACAUUGUUCCAUACGGCUUUCCUGUGCCAACUCUUCCAAUACCUUUUCUUUAAUUUUCUGACUUACUUUGAGCUGUCCAUCAUACAAGUCCACAACAAUCUUUCCAUCUGGUUCUCUGGAUAAAAUUACAGCCUUCAGCAGUUUACCAAGGAAUGUUUUCACAAACCAUGUAGUAAUUUUUGCUGGAAAUUCUGCCCCCCUAAGAUCUGACAGACAGAAUUUAAUAGCUUGCAUGGGUGUGAAUAGUAGGUCAGUGGCAGAAUCUGGAAUAGGCAUCAACUGGUCUCUCUCCACCAUAUUCCUAUUUCCAAAAUCCACAUAGUCAACCAACAGAAAGGAUGUUGACUCCACAGGAAAAGCCAAAGCUCUGUAAAAGAGACCAUCUUCCACAUAUUUGGCUAUACACAGUCGCGUAUUGCCAUGAUAAUUUGCAUUACUUGACAUUUUACUUAAGUCACUAACCUUCUUCAUCAAUGCCUCAAGAGUUUCAGAGUUGCGGUUAAGCUGACAAUAGAAUUCUGAAGGACUGUUUAUGUGAGUUAUAUAAACUUCCUCCUCACUUCCAAUUUUUAUAUUAAAAGAUGAAUAGCAAAAACUGUACAGAGAACCCAAAGAUGAAAGGUUUCUCAAUCCAACACGUUCAGGCUGGGUGAGAUUACAUUCUCUGAGGAAUUCCUCUACACUCACAAGUGGAGUCUGUAAGUCAACUACAUUGCAUAAAUAGUUGGGGCUCACAAGAACAACAGCAUAAAUGGUACAAGUCAGUGGUCCUCUAGAAGAAGAAAGGAAGUCUUCAAAUCGUCUAUGUACUUCUUCAGACAAACUAAUUGAGUCAGUCUGUAAGACUACAUUUCUAAGGCCACAUCUAAAUGCUUGACUCUCUAGAGUUAGGAAAUCUGGAAGAACACCCUGUACAUCUUUAAGUGAAAUUCUUUCCUGAUAACCAUAGUCUACAAAAAGCACAUCAACUUCAUUUGUGGAUACCUCCUCCACAACAGUUGCUCUAUACCACCUCCCAUCUUUGGGAUACUUAACAACACAGGCAACCUGUCCAGUUUUGUAGGGACUAGUAUGAUCUUUAUAGUAUGUCUGAAUUUGUCCCAUCAAGUUAUUUAGCUCUGGCAGCUUGCUUUGUAGUUGACAUGAAAAAUGUGCUGGGGAAAAAAUGCAAGAACACACCACCUCAUUAACAGCUCCUGGUUUAAACACAAGCUCCUUAUAAACUAAUUUUUCUUCACAUACUAAUUUAUGCAUUUUAGAGACAGCACCUUCUCCUAAACAGGAUGGCACAACAGAUUCUCUAGGCACUCGCAGCACAUUUAAUGAUUUUUCCUUCUGAAGUAUGUCUCCAUUUCCAGACACUUUGUUUUUGCAAAUAUUACUGUUGUUCUCUGCACUGAUUUUUUCUUUUUUACAUUUGGGGCGAUUCCCGUUGUGCCGCUUUUUUGCUGCCUUUAGAACAGAAUCCGGUGGCUUUAGCCGAUAUUCAGCAUAACCAGCUUGAACCAUACACGUGGCCACAUUUCCAUGCAGGAAACCAGUAUGACACUGCACAUUAACAACGUACUUGUUGUUUUGCUUUCCAAUUACAUGAAGUAGCACUGGUUUGUUCAACACCACAUUUUUAAAGAAAUCAGUUUCUUUUUUAACCCAUACACCAUCAACAGGAAAUGUACAAGCAAGGGAACAACACACAGCUAAAGCUGGUAAAUCAGAAAACUCGGGAAGCAACGUUUUCACAUGGUGACAAGGUAUAGUAUCUGUAUUUCCAAAAUCCAAAAAGUAAACCAUAAUGUUAACACGAAACACUUUUGUGACAACACCCCGGUAAUAACACCCAUCCUUGCUAUACCGGGCACAGCACAGCAACCCAGGUUCUGGCUUUUUAAGGACCAUCUCAUCAUCUCUACACUGACUGUAUCUGCAGGCAAUGUUUUUCAUCAAGGCAUGAAACUCAUUCUGGUAUAUACACAUUUGAAUCCAAAAGUCAGAUGGAUUUAUGACAUGUACUACAAAAGCUUCAUAAAAAGAGUUCAUCUGCAUCUCUACUCUCUUGCAGUGGCUGGAAAAAGAAAUGUCCCAUUCAGGUAAGCAGGUUUUUUUAUCUUUGUUUCCAGAGCAAUUCUUAGAUGAAUUGCUUCUCUCAGGACUUAGUUUGUGGUUUAGUGCAAUACUUCUGGUUUUUGUUUCC